GCUAAUGUGGCUCAGGGGUAGAGCAGCUCACUCGUAAUGAGCAGGCCGUGGGUUCAAUUCCCACCAUUAGCUCCA
rnacentral:tRNA from 1 species